UCCCUCUUAGGAUCUCACCUGGAGCGUUUCCCAUACUCUACUAGUCUCGGCUGCGGGAGGGAGAGUCAAGCAGAAGCCUACUCAUUCCAUUCCUAGCUUGGGCAGUGGCUAGUGAGUGGAAGGCAAUAUGCUUCAAGU